rnacentral:misc_RNA from 1 species
CAGAGUUGAAAAACUCCCAACCCUUUGUGAACAAACUAAAUAGUUGCCUCGGCGGGGCGCCCCUUAGGGGGCUGGCCGCCAGCGGAAUCUAAACUCUUUAUAUCUUGUAUCUCUGAGUACUUAUUCAAUAAGUUA